AUGUGCUGUGUGUAAAAUGUUCAUGCAGUAAAGCUGCUGAGUUUCUACACACAUCAGUCAGCAGAAAUUUGCACACUGUCAGCUCCAAAGUUCAGGAAUAACUAUCAUAAAUACAGUCUGCAAGAAUUUUUAUUCCUUUAUUGUACAGGGUGUCCCAAAAGUCUCCAUGUAGAGAGAGAAAUUAACACUUUUUAGCAAAAUGUCUUCCAAAAUUGAUCUUGCUUAUAUACAUUCUAUAUUAUAGAGGACUAUGUUUGCUAUCAUCACGUCAGUUGUUCCUUCGUCAGUGGAUGUUGGUGGACAUCCACUUCUAUAUAUGUGUAUAUGUGUGUGUAUAUUUAUAUAACUUUUCAGAUAGCCUUUAAAAAUCUUUGACAAAAGAAGAACGUAUUGAAGUCAUUCUCAUAGCUGCAUCGGGAAGCUGUUGCAAUAUAAGAGCUUUGAGACAUAGCAAUAUAAUAUUUCUAAUAUUAAUUUGUAAAAUGAAUGAAACAAAAUAGGAGACUGGGAUUUUCUCUCGUGACCCCAUUUGUAAAUCAAGCAAAGGGGUCAUGACCCCUAGAUUGGCAGCCCCUAGUGUACCACUGAUGAGUAUUUUCUUAUUUCAUCAAAAAAUUCAACAAGACUGACAUCACAGCUCACCUAACCUGCCGUCAGACCCCAAACCGCUAACAAAAUAAUCAGCAGUGAUGUGAGUACUGUACAUUUUGUAGCACAGCGCCCCCCUCUGUCACUCUCAAACUAAUACACUCUAUAUUGUAUAAAUAUAUGGUUUCACUUUCAUUUGCUUACAUGUGACGUUGCCAUUUACUUAAAGUAAACCUCGACAUGUAUCAUUUGGGAUUUAAUUAAUUAACACAAAAAUAUUCCUACACAAAUUGUUACUAUUACUAUAUUGAUCUGUGUUACUCUUUCACAUGAGUAAGUCUCUCUCUCUUUCACAAGUCUUUCUCUCUCUCUCUCUCUCUCUCUCUCUCUCUAAUAAAAAGAAUAAUUGAGUCAUAUUAAAUUUAAACUUUACAUUAAUGGACUUUAAUUAAUUGUACUAUUUCCUUUAUGAUAAUUUUAUUAUCAUUUUGUGUCAUAGUAGAUCUUUUAUUACUUUUAUUAAUUUUAUUACUAGGCCACAUUUAUGUAAUGAAUAAUGAAAUGUCUUUUUUUUUAAACCCUUACAAUCACCACACCAAUAUAUUAUUUAUUGUAUGAAGGUAAGUAAAUUCUGAUCUUCAAAAUAUUCAGAAUGAACAUGAAAUAGAGGAUUUCCCCAACACACACAAAAUCAUACCUAACCAACAGCCAACAACCAGCAACAUACCUCACCAACAACACGCCUACAUUAUAAUCUGUUUAAAAGAAUAGUAGACGUUAUUGAAUAUUUUAAAGCCUUAAGACUGCACUUCUUCAGUUCUGUCUGAUUUUAAAAAAAAUUGUUUGAUCUUUUCCCCUGCAUCAUGUUGUAUCUAAUUAUUAGUAGGAUUGGUGAUCAUGUUGCUUUUUACCCAAAAUUUUAUUUAAUUUCAACAAAAUCAGAACAUAGGCUUAACUUUGGAAACCUCCACCAAAAAAUAAACACCCAACCUGUUUGCAGUACACAGUCAAACUGGAGAAAAGUUUUAAAAUGUUGAAUCAGUUAUGAGUAACUGAAUUAUUCACACUUUCCACUUCUUUAAUGAGAAUGCCGUAUGGACGGAUUGAACUCUCCACGAUCUCCUUCUCCUGCUCCGCUGUGCUGCCCACAGGAACGGGGAUGAGCCAGUAAUCAGUUUUAACUGUAAGUGUCCGUUUCAGUGGAUUUACUCGGUUCUGCAUGAUGGUUCUGUAGGUUUUCCCGGUUUUCUUGGAUGUGAAUAUCUUGCUCAUGGUAUAAUCUUCUGCAAUUUUAAUGUCAGGAGUUGAAUAAAUGCCGCGACCAUACGCCUGACCUUGACCUGCUUUGUAAUGUGUGCUUGCGAUUUCUUUAGCGCCUUCGAUGCUCGUGCCGUGGAAGCAAACGGGCCACUCGCCGGCUGCAGAGUGACUCCUCCAUCCUUUAGGACCAAGCCAUGCGUUUCCAUCCGGG
ensembl:lncRNA